rnacentral:rRNA from 1 species
UACAGAGGUCCCCAAGCGUUGUUCGGAUUUACUGGGCGUAAAGGGUGCGUAGGUUGUCAAAAAGUUCGAUGUGAAAUCUCGAAGCUCAGCUCCGAAACUGCAUCGAAUGCUGUUUGGCUUGAGGAUUGGAGGGGAGAUUGGAAUUCUCGGUGUAGCAGUGAAAUGCGUAGAUAUCGAGAGGAACACCAGUGGCGAAGGCGAAUCUCUAGACAAAUCCUGACACUGAGGCACGAAAGCCAAGGGAGCAAACGGGAUUAGAAACCCUAGUAGU